CAGCAGCCGCGGGAAUACGUAGGGUCCGAGCGUUGUCCGGAAUUAUUGGGCGUAAAGAGCUCGUAGGCGGUCUGUCGCGUCUGCCGUGAAAUCCUCAGGCUCAACCUGAGGCGUGCGGUGGGUACGGGCAGGCUAGAGUGCGGUAGGGGAGAAUGGAACUCCUGGUGUAGCGGUGGAAUGCGCAGAUAUCAGGAAGAACACCGAUGGCGAAGGCAGUUCUCUGGGCCGUAACUGACGCUGAGGAGCGAAAGCGUGGGGAGCGAACAGGAUUAGAUACCCCCGUAGUCCCUGUCUCUUAUAC
rnacentral:rRNA from 1 species